AGCUUUUCAUCAGAUCGAGAGUUCUCAAUUGUAAUCACAUCAGCGUCCAUGUCAAUGAUGGAGUGGAUAAUGUCGUUGAAGUUGGAGUAGCACAUGUGGGUGUGGAUCUGCCAGGAGUUAAACAGUGAGUAAAAUGCAGUUACAAGAAAGGGAACAAAAAACAACACAUGACUGCAUGACAGAUGUGAGUGUAGGGAAAAGAGGAAAACCUGGGUAGUGUCUUCAACCCCGACGUUGGUGAUCCUGAAGGAGUGGACAGCCCAGUCCAAGUAGAAUGCAUGCUCCGACUUCCUAAGAGGCAAUCCCUCUCUCAAAGCAGCCUCAUCAAUUUGGAUGACAGUGAUGCCGG
rnacentral:lncRNA from 1 species